rnacentral:rRNA from 1 species
AUGGGAGGGUUGGUUGUGAGAAUGCUGGAUCUAGGUGGCGGCAAGUUGUCCCUCCAAUGGCCUGAAUUUCUGUGGAGCUGGCCACUAGCGAUAGCUAGGCCUGGCAUCAAACGAGUCGGGUGGAAUAAUGGUUCAGAUCACUUGUGGAAGACCAGCAAAGACUGGAAACAACAACGAAAGUUGCUGCACAAAUGGAUCGUGGAGCGCCUCGUCAGGAUCUUGGAGAACCUGUGUGAUUCUUUUUCCGAGUUUGCCGCCGUCCUGAUGGGAACACAGCAUCUCCACAGGGCUCCCCAAGAGGCUUUUUUUUCUAACUUUGAGAGCGCCAGCAGUGAAAAAAGUCUCCACUCACGCCCCCGGGAUCGCUUUUUUUGCCGGUUUCGUGCAAUUUUAGCACCGGCAGUAUCACCCGAAACCCAGCCCCCAGGGAGGCAUCUGAGAGCGUCGGCGGUUUGUUUAUGCAUGCAAAAGGCCCACCUGCAGCCACAUCUCCCCCUCCCCCGUCGCUUUCAGCCCGGCCCCCACCUUCUCUCUCCCCAUCUGCUUCUCUCUCUCUGCUCCGCCCGUGGCCCCGGUGCCUCCCCGCAGCGUCGCCGCCCGCGGCUGGUGCCUCCCCUGUGCGUGGCCGGGGCGGAGCUCGCGCGGCGGCCAAAGGUCAAGAAGCAGCGGCAGGCCCGGCCAGCGAUGAGGCGGGGCGAGCGCGGCCAUAAUGCUUUUAUACAGCACAACAAUCUGGUGAUACGUCUGCCGCUUCUCCAUCCAUGGGAUAAGUACGUCCGGGAAGAAUCUGCCACGGACAAGCAACCGUCCCGUCCGCCGAUCGCUCCUCGCUUGCUGGCGCCGGAGAGAAGCUUGUCACGUAGCGCGCGCCUCCGUGCCAAUCUGUCCCCAGAGCCAGAAUUAUGUAUGAGAUGGUACAAAACAUGGCCGCCUGACCGCCCCCGUAUCUUGUCCACUCUGAUCGAUCGGUUCGGUUCUCUCUUCUCCUUUUGCCGCUUCCAAAGGGCGAGUCUGGAGGUGGAGCUCGUCUUGAAAGCGGCGUGCCGUGACAUCAGAGUUCCACGGGGCUCUCGCCCCAUCUUUCCAUUGACAACAAAGUUUGGUGGGCGAUGUCACGGCGCACGGACGCCCCUCGCCCCGUCGCCUGAGCAUGCGUGGGGAAUGGGGCUGGAUGGGUGGUGCUCUACUCCUACCUGUCGCUGUGUUGCUGCUACACUCACAGCGCACGCGAAGCACGAACUUCCUGGAGGAUCAUAUCGUGCAUCGUGGAAUGGAGUUUAUAUGGAAUCUCACCUUUCGUCCAUGCAUGCCAUGCCCAUAAGUAAACCACAUCAGAUCGGUACAGGUUCAUCAACAGGGAAAUCACCGAGUGCUAAGCAAGAACUUGAUCUCCACGCGAGGCUCAAGAGGAGAGUGAUUAGCUUGGCUGUGCUUCAGAGAGCUCGGAAAAGUCAAUGUGCUAGGAUUGCGAACCUUAAAGAAGGUGACGCAAACACAAAAAAAUUUCACCGCCGCAUCAAUGCUCGGAGACGAAAGAACCACAUCUACCGGAUCAAACAUAUGCAUGGUUGGGUAACAGAUCAUGAGGAAAAGAAGAAAAUCAUCCACAACCACUUCUCUGAGGUCAUGGGAAGAUGCGGCACAAGUAACUUGGAUUUUAACUGGGAUGAGCUCAACUUGUAG